rnacentral:tRNA from 1 species
GCGGGUUUAGCUCAGUUGGGAGAGCGUCAGACUGAAGUAAAACUUCAUCAGUUAAUCUGAAGGUCGUGUGUUCGAUCCACACAAACCGCA